rnacentral:rRNA from 2 species
UACGUAGGGACCAAGCGUUGUUCGGAUUUACUGGGCGUAAAGGGCGCGUAGGCGGCAUAUUAAGUCAGCUGUGAAAUCUCUGGGCUUAACCCAGAACUGUCAGCUGAUACUGAUGUGCUAGAGUGCAGAAGGGGCAAUCGGAAUUCUUGGUGUAGCGGUGAAAUGCGUAGAUAUCAAGAGGAACACCUGAGGUGAAGACGGGUUGCUGGGCUGACACUGACGCUGAGUGCGCGAAAGCCAGGGGAGCAAACGGG